CCUGCCUUUGGAGCGGUCUCCAGUCCGCUUGGUGUUCACAAGCAUUCAAACUGAACCAGAGUUCACUUCAACCAAACAGAGACAGAGGUUUGUAGACGAACCAGAGUUAGCUUAGCAUUCACACCUCACCAACCGGACUGGACUCUCUAGACAGACGGACUGGAGUUGGAAUAAACCAGACAUGGUGUGAAUGCAGUCAGUGGUCGACCACUUUGUAGCUGAGCUGCUGAUCCAACUUCCACUGUGAGGAAAGGUCAGGACUUUCACCCUGUAGCCACUGCAGCCUUAGUGCUGCAGUUAUGCUGCAGUUUAUGCUGCUCUGAACAUGCAGGCGACUGGAACAGCUGACCUCACUGACCUCAGUGACCUCAGUGACCUCAGUGACCUCAGAUUUCUGAGGAGCAACUCCAACCCUUCAGGAAGACAACAGAAACUCAUCAUCAUCAGAACCUCCUGCUUUGGUUCCAGCUGGUUCUGUUUCAGUGCCUGAGCCUUCAUCAUCAUCAUCAUCAUCAUCAUCAUCAUCAUCAUCAUCAUCAUCAUCAUCAUCAUCACCAUCAUCAUCAUCAUCAUCAUCAUCAUCACCAUCGUCGACAGGAACAAGAUCCGUUUUCCUCUGUGGAAACUUUAUUGUGUCUCAGCAUCAUCAACAUUCUGGUUUGAUAAACUUUAACAUCUCAUUUGUUGCUCUAAUUGAUCUGAAUUCAUCUAGAAAUGAAAAGCUGCAGGCUGGGAGUAUCGGACCUGAGGACAUGGAGACACUUCCUGGUUCUGCAUUCAGAACCGAUGAAACAGAACCGCAGAACAGAACCUGUUUUUGGUUCUUCUGUUUCGUUUAACAUGAAUAAAAAACGACAUCAACAGUUUCAGUGAACUUUUCUCUUUUUCUGAAGGAUUUAGAAUAAGAAACUUUCCAGAACCAACAAUCAGAGGCAGAAUAAUCAUGUGUGUCAGUUUCUACAGCGGGUGGGAGGAGGUUCUAGUCUGAUGAAACAACUGGAGGUCCAAACUCAGGAGUCAGACAGCAGAGCUGUGGAAAACGUCCCUGAUCUCCCACUCAGGCUCCAGAACCGCCACACUGGUUUUACUAUGCUGCUGUGGGGAUUUGUUGGACCAAUCUGAACACAUUGCAUCAUAACACCAGGAAGCUCUGAGCUCCUAUGUGACACAAAUAUAACCAGAUUCAUGGAGAGAAACCUGAACAACUGAGCAUCAAACAUGCUGAAGAUCAACCAGGUUUUAUUGUGUUAUGUGGAUCACAGCACAGCUGAACCGUUUAAAGACAGGAAACACUGGACACACAGGGCUGAAUGUUUGCAGAAAGGAAAACAUCUGGUUGGUUCAGCUCUGACUUCUGGACUGAAGGUGGAAAACUGACGGACUGCAGAGGGUUUGAGCUUUAUGAUAAACACAUUCAUUAAUUAUCUGCUGGAAAAACAAACCAUAUCAGUCAGAUAUUUUAAUGUAUUUAAAAGAAAAUAGCAAAUCAUAAAGACUCAGACGCAAUAAAUAUUUUCAAACAGUUGAGAGUAAAUCCCAGAAAUAAAACAUUUCAGAUGGUUGUGAAACUUUAUCUGCUCACAAAUUCAAGAGAACAAAGAACAAAACGAAGAUUUAAAGUUUCUGCCGGUUAAAUUGUGACAGUAAAGAACAAGAACUGAUGGAGGUUUGAAUGUUUCAGGAGGAGAAGCUGAGCUUCACAGGUUUAAAGAACAACUCGUUCACAUGCUUUGUGCAGCCUUUUUUAAAAUAAAGUCAUAACUUAUCUUUAAAUAUUCAGAGAAAAUUAAAUCUCCAGCAACUGGAAACAGUAGAAGCGUUCAGUUCAUUUAUCAGGUCAUGAAUCAAGAAAUCUGCUUCAGUUUCUGCACAGAGGAGUUGAGUCGAUUAUCAUCAUUUACUUUCAUAACGUGUGUAAAACUCUGGAAGGAAACAUCCAGUUUAAAGCUAACAUGUCCAAAUCCUCUUAGUUAAAUCACUGCAGCUGAAUGAUGAAAAUAAAGGAUUUAA